rnacentral:lncRNA from 1 species
GUUAGGCCAGUAAGCACUAGGUGUUCAAUACAGAAGGAACACCCAUGCACUAGCCAAAUAGAAAAACUAGCUAAUUAAUUAGAUCCCUUGGACGUACUCCCAUCCGUUCACGAAUAUAUGCAUGCAUUUCAUGAUUUAAAUUUUGUACAACUUAAAAUUCUCUAGAAAAUCAAUUCUUUUUUUGAGAGAACACAGUACAACACAUACGCUCACAACGCAUGCACACCCUCCUCCCCUAAGAACGCACGCACGUAAACCCUACCCCUAUGAGCACCUCUGAAGCCUGAUCGGCACAUCCUGGAGAGACUGACGAAGUCACCAUAGACGCCUCGCUGUCGACGGGUACGUCAUCUACUACUGAAAGCACAAAACCGUUAGAAUCCUGAAAAAUUCGCUCCAACUAGGAGUCGAACCCAGGAUCUCAAGUGCUACUAAGGCCUCUGUAACUAGGCUACAGGCCCUUUCGCUCUAGAAAAUCAAUUCUAAUGCAUGAGAAUUUAGUCAUUUUCAGUCGAUCAGGUGCUUAGAAUGGGGACCCAAACAUUUUCAAAAUUUGACCACUAGAAUGAUUUGAAAGAUAGUUCUUAUCGUGAAAUGACUGAAAGAGAAAUUUUAUUCUGAU